rnacentral:lncRNA from 1 species
AAAAUAGCACCUUUAUAAGUUUAUAUCACAAAAAUAGCACUCAAAAACUAAAAUGACCAAAAUAACAUUUUAUCUUUUGAAAAUUUUAAAUUUUUCAUUUUUCAAAAUUUGAAAUCUUAUCCCCAAAACCUCAUUUCUAAACUCUAAACCCUAAACUCUAAACCCUAAACGCUAAACCCUAAACGCUAAACCCUAAACCCUAAAUCCUAAAUCUUAAACCCCACCCUUUUACUCUAAACCCUAAGUUUGUGACUUUUGAUAAAACAUUA